rnacentral:rRNA from 1 species
CCUACGGGAGGCAGCAGUGAGGAAUAUUGGUCAAUGGCCGGGAGUCUGAACCAGCCAAGUCGCGUGAGGGAAGACGGCCCUACGGGUUGUAAACCUCUUUUGUCAGGGAGUAAGGUGCAGCUCGUGACCUCCUUUGAGUGUACCUCAAGAACAAGCAUCGGCUAACACCGGGCCAGCAGCCGCGGUAUUACGGAGGAUGCGAGGGUUAUCCGGAUUUUUUGGGUUAAAGGGGUGCGCAGGCGGAGGCACAAGUCAGCGGUAAAAUCGCGGGGCUCAACCCCGCCCCGCCGUUGAAACUGUGGGCCUGGAGUGCGCGAAGGGUAGGCGGAAUGCGUGGUGUAGCGGUGAAAUGCAUAGAGAUCGCGCAGAACCCCGAUCGCGAAGGCAGCCUACCGGCGCGAAACUGACGCUGAUGCACGAAAGCGUGGGUAUCGAACAGGAUUAGAUACCCCAGUAGUC